CACACGACUCUCGGCAACGGAUAUCUCGGCUCUCGCAUCGAUGAAGAACGUAGCGAAAUGCGAUACCUGGUGUGAAUUGCAGAAUCCCGCGAACCAUCGAGUCUUUGAGCGCAAGUUGCGCCCGAGGCCACUCGGCCGAGGGCACGCCUGCCUGGGCGUCACGC
rnacentral:rRNA from 1 species